AAAACCUUAAGUUAACUUAAACUAACAACCUUCAAAGUUGUAUUUAUAUUUAUAAAAUAUAGGUUUUA
rnacentral:tRNA from 1 species